rnacentral:rRNA from 1 species
AUACGGAGGGUGCGAGCGUUAAUCGGAAUUACAGGGCGUAAAGCGUACGUAGGCGGUUGGUUAAGUUAGAUGUGAAAGCCCCGGGCUUAACCUGGGAACUGCAUUUAAAACUGGCGAACUAGAGUUGAGUAGAGGGGAGUGGAAUUUCAGGUGUAGCGGUGAAAUGUGUAGAGAUCUGAAGGAACACUAGUGGCGAAGGCGACUCCCUGGACUCGAACUGACGCUGAGGUACGAAAGCGUGGGUAGCAAACGGGAUUAGAAACCCCAGUAGUCC